GCUAUAACGGCGCCAUCUUGGGCGUGAGUGCGGGCGGCUGGCCGGAGGUGUCUCGGAGCUAGUCCUUCCCGACCUCUGUUCCGUGGGUCGACACCGACGUGCAUUUCGAGCUCUAGGCCGGCUUAGGGGGCACGCGCUGAGAUGAUGCUGAGAGGAAACCUGAAGCAAGUGCGCAUUGAGAAGAACCCGGCGCGCCUCCGCGCUCUGGAGUCGGCGGCCGGAGAGGGGGACCCAGCGGCCCUGGCGCUCGCGCUGCCGGGGGAGCCGCCGGUGCCCGCCGCGCCCGCCGGGGAGGACCGGCCGGCUGACGAGGGCGGUUUCACCAUCGACAUAAAGAGCUUCCUUAAGCCGGGCGAGAAGACGUACACGCAGCGCUGCCGCCUCUUCGUGGGGAACCUGCCCACGGACAUCACCGAGGACGACUUCAAGCGGUUGUUCGAACGCUAUGGCGAGCCCAGCGAGGUCUUCAUCAACCGCGACCGCGGCUUCGGCUUCAUCCGCCUGGAGUCCAGAACACUGGCUGAAAUUGCAAAAGCAGAGCUGGAUGGCACCAUUUUGAAGAGCAGACCUCUCCGAAUUCGUUUUGCUACACAUGGAGCAGCCCUAACUGUUAAGAACCUUUCUCCGGUGGUUUCCAAUGAGCUUCUAGAGCAAGCAUUUUCCCAGUUUGGUCCAGUAGAGAAAGCUGUUGUUGUUGUGGAUGAUCGUGGUAGAGCUACGGGAAAAGGUUUUGUGGAAUUUGCAGCAAAGCCUCCUGCACGAAAGGCUCUGGAAAGAUGUGGUGAUGGGGCGUUCUUGCUAACAACGACCCCUCGUCCGGUCAUUGUGGAGCCCAUGGAACAGUUUGAUGAUGAAGAUGGCUUGCCAGAGAAACUAAUGCAGAAAACUCAGCAGUAUCAUAAGGAAAGAGAACAGCCACCACGUUUUGCUCAGCCUGGGACAUUUGAAUUUGAAUAUGCAUCUCGAUGGAAGGCUCUGGAUGAAAUGGAGAAGCAGCAGCGUGAGCAGGUUGACAGAAACAUCCGAGAAGCAAAAGAGAAACUGGAGGCGGAGAUGGAAGCUGCCCGGCACGAGCACCAGCUGAUGCUCAUGCGGCAAGAUUUAAUGAGACGGCAAGAGGAACUCAGACGUUUGGAAGAACUCAGAAACCAAGAGCUACAAAAACGAAAGCAAAUACAGCUGAGGCAUGAGGAAGAGCACCGUCGUCGUGAAGAGGAAAUGAUCCGACACAGAGAACAGGAGGAGCUGAGGCGACAGCAGGAGGGCUUUAAGCCAAACUAUAUGGAAAAUGAGAAAAGGAAACAUGGAUGAAGCUACCUGAAAUUUGGCUUCCUGUGUGAGCCCAAAGUUGCAAGCUGAGGAGAACUUGCCAGUGUCCUUUCAGUGGUCUUGGGGAGCAGGAAUGUCAGCCUUUCCUGAGCACAGCUUGUGAGAUGAGACCGAUGGCAUCAGACCACUGGCUUAAUAGGGUCCCAGGGGAUCUGCAUCCACAGUCAAAUCAUUCUGUGGAAGAAAUGAACAACAAGGGAGAAAUGAACCAGAAGAAUCUUGUUUUAUUUUUCAAUUUAUUACCACUCCAUUAUAAACAACCUGUGGAUAGAUGAGCAGUCAUGGCACUUUAUCCAGCCCAUGAGUAAAGCUCUUCUGUACCAGUUGGGAGAAGUCAGGCCUGGAAACGCCAGGUUUGGCUGGAAAAGAGCUUCAUCACCUACAGGUCAGCAGAGGGAAGUGGUGUGGACGCCCUCAGUGGCCUGAGCUUACCUAGCAAUAUUUUUCAAAGUAACUUAAAAGGCUUUGUACUGUAUUAUGCUGUGAAAUAGAUUUUACUACAUUCAUGAAUUUUCUAAAUUCUCAAAGACUUUAAAAAUUAUAUAUUUGGCCAUGUGGGAUCUUAACUCCCUGAUUGGGGAUUGAACCCGCACCCCCUGCAUUGGAAGCAUGGAGUCUUAACCACUGGACUGCCAGGCAAGUCUCAAAUUUUUCUGAAUUCUUAUUUUAUAAAUCACUUUUUGUUAUUCUUAUAUCUGUGUCCUACUGUUGUUAUAAGGCAUUAAUUAAUCAUAAAACGCUCUAAAGUCUGUCAGCUUUCUGUAUGCUAAAGUCUUACUACUAAAUAAACUAGUAAAUUCUCAUGUGACAA